GACGAACGCUGGCGGCGUGCUUAACACAUGCAAGUCGAACGGAAAGGCCCUGCUUUUGUGGGGUGCUCGAGUGGCGAACGGGUGAGUAACACGUGAGUAACCUGCCCUUGACUUUGGGAUAACUUCAGGAAACUGGGGCUAAUACCGGAUAGGAGCUCCUGCUGCAUGGUGGGGGUUGGAAAGUUUCGGCGGUUGGGGAUGGACUCGCGGCUUAUCAGCUUGUUGGUGGGGUAGUGGCUUACCAAGGCUUUGACGGGUAGCCGGCCUGAGAGGGUGACCGGCCACAUUGCGACUGAGAUACGGCCCAGACUCCUACGGUAGGCAGCAGUGGGGAGUAUUGCACAAUGGGCGGAAGCCUGAUGCAGCAACGCCGCGUGCGGGAUGACGGGCUUCGGGUUGUAAACCGCUUUCGCCUGUGACGAAGCGUGAGUGACGGUAAUGGGUAAAGAAGCACCGGCUAACUACGUG
rnacentral:rRNA from 1 species